UCCGGGCUUGACCGAAAGGCAACUUGCCUCGCAGACUAACGGAGGCGAGGUGAGAGUGCGACGGUAGAGUAACAGAGAAACUAGGCACAUGCAGGACAUACGAUGAUGAACACGACUUCCCAUCCGCAGGACCGAGGGCAUCCCGAGGUCCAGUCGAGAUGCGUGCGCUUUCUCGCCAGGGGAAAGCUGAAAGGAGUCCUUGUGCAGAAGAGCUGGUGGGGAGCGGAGGCGGAGGAGGAUGUGGGGGGGGGAGGGGAGCUGAAGGAUAAAACCCACGCCGUUAGGAAAGCUACGACUUUCAAGGCAGCUGAGCGAGGACGCGCUGAGAAGACAAACAGUCUCGUCUGGAGAAAAGCGUGAGGAUAUCCGUGAGAAGAGAGGGUCACUUUUAUAAGAAAGGCCUAUCCAGGUUAUUCCCCGAAAUACAGCUUCUGAAAAUAUUCAGCUAGAGGACUCUUGCAGUUUUGGGAACUUGACAGUAUUCGAAGGAGGCACCGGUUGCCUUUUAAAAGGCGAGAAGCACAGAAGAAGAAACUGACAUUCCUGUGACGCUUUCAACAACAGAAUCUCUCGUCUAUUCUGAACAAGGGGGAGGAGGAGGGGAGCUGUUGAGUUGCAGUGAGUGAAAGGGGAAUUAUUCAAAAGCCGUUGAAGAUUGCAGAAACGUUUUCAAGACAGUGACCCCUGGAAAUGCGCAGAGCUUUUGCCGCCUGGCAGAGAAAGCAAGGUUUCUUCACGGAGGGAGGUGGAGGACUGCUCUUUGUUAAACAGGGAAGCUGCGUCUAGAUCUGUUUUUUUUUUUUUUUUUGUAGCCUGAGAGUAGCGUGAUAUCCUGUCCUGCUCACUCCUUCGCGGGAAAAGGAUCCUCCUCACAGACAGGCCCUUCUGCUCACUGCUAGUAGGGCUACUUGGAUUUUGUACUGCUUACUUACAGCAGUAGUGCUGCAGUGGCCUCCUACAGAAUAUUGCACCCCCUGGCCACUGACUGUCUGCUGUAUCUGCCCGACCUCCCUGUCCAGCUAGAUGGGGUUGCCUCUGGCUUUCCACUUGGUGCAUGUCGCAGUUACUGCAAGGCGCUCCACAAACACCCACACUAAUCCUCCAGACCAUGUGCGCGCUGCUGCCGCAAGCCCAGCUUCUCUGCCCUUUGAGAAUCCAGACAAGCCACACCUGACGGCGCCCGGCGAGCUCCUCUGUGCUCCUGCGGAAAUAAAGAAGGGAUUUUCCUGAAGGAGGGGGGAGGAGACGUGCGAGGAGGAGGAGGGGGCAGUGGCGGUGGUGGUGUUGGGGGUGGUGGGGGUUUAAUCAGCCUGUAUUUAAUUGCCUCCCGGCCUCCUGGAGUUUGAGCAUUUCCAUGAAAUAGGCUGAGACCCUCUAACACCACCUUUUCUAAUUAAAAUCAUUAGAAAUUCCCGGCGUUGCAUUGCACCGCAUUAAGUGAGCCUCUUUAAGAAACAAAUCCCGCAAACCUAGAAUUUAACCCCUGCGGGCCUGGCCUUGGCGCAUCUGUACGUUUGAUCCCUUUUCUCAGUUAAAUUCCUUGAACUAAAUGGGCCUGUGUGACAGUGAGGGUGUGUGUGUGUGUGUGUGUGUGUUGGGGGGGGGGACCUUAAAGAACUGAAGACAAAGAACCCAGUCAAACAAUAACCGGGUGCUCAAUUAAUACACCAUUAAAGCUUGACCCACUGGGAUUGGAAACUCUGGUCAUCAAAGUGCGGCCCAGUGAGAAGGAGCGGAGUACAGCCUGGGGAGCAGAUUUGUUGAGCUGCUGUAUUCAGAGCGCUUGUCGUGGGGGUGGAGAGGUGUGUGUGAGGGGGUGGGUAAGGGCUCGGUCCCCGAGGGUUGGGUUCCCUUUCACCCAUUUAGAUUGCUUUGCAAAAUUAUAUUUUUGUAAUGUUCCUGGUGUUAAAACACAAAAUAAAACAGUCCACUGAAGUUGGAAAGACAUUUUAAUUUUUUCUUCUCCAGUUUUUAGCUUUUAUUUGACCUGCGAUCAUUAUUAGGGGGUUUCACAGGCUUUGUAUGGUCUUCAAAGAAAUGCCAACAGGGACUCAGUUUGGCGUGUGGACCCCCUUGUGAAUUGAGUUUUCCUUGACCCUUUAAACUGCUGUCUGGACAUCUCUUCCAACACUGAAGCCUAUAUGUCACAUACCCAAUUAAAUACCCCCAUUAGAUCCAGAGAUAUGUUAAAUACUCAUUUAAUAACCAUUUAACAACAUCAUCACUGACUCAGAGAACAAACAUUGAUCUUCCCACCUGUACAGUUCUAACAUUUUUGGCAACUCUCAGUAAUUAAGAGUUCUCCAUUAGGGAAGAUAAAGAGGAUUAUAACUGAGAGACUGUCUAGUUUUCUUGCACGGCUUCAGGCCCUGUUGGAGAAAAGAGCUCACUAAAUACCCACCACACGAGCACCAGCAAUAACAGAACCCAGAAUCCCUGGCUGAGGACUGCUGGGACAGAGGGGAAGUGAGAGGAUGAGGGAGGUGGGCUAUGGUUUAGAGAGAGAGGAAGGGCGAGGACAAAGGGACCCCUAGCUGUUGUUUCUGGCUUGGAAUCCCACAUGCAUCACUCUCACGCCUGGGGUGUGCAGUGCUGCCACAAAUGGAGAUAGUGGAGAGGGUGACAAAGAGGAUUAAUGAGCUGGAGAUUGGGGGGUGGGCAUGGGCGGUGGCCAAGGUGGUCAAACCAGAUGUUGACAGGGGGUCUUGAGAAGGUCAGGGCGAUGUCUAACCACAGCUGCUGGCCUCCUGCCCUCUUUGCUCUUUCAAUGUUUAACUGCCCCCCCUCAGCAGGGUGUGUGUGUGAGUGUAACGAUUAGCCUCUGCCGCUGCUGGAUCAGUACAGACAGAGAUAUAUAAAUAGACUGGGUUGGGCUAGCAGGGGUGGGCUUGGAAAGAUGCUUAACGGAAAAGCAAACAUAGGGGUUGUUAAAAACAACAAUGUGGUUUGGGGCUGGAAUGUGAGAUUGGGGUAUUCUGCUGAAUUUUUUUCCCCCUUUCUAAUUCUGCGUGUGUUGAAGCGGCUCUGGAUCAGCUCAUCUCCUUGUGCUUUGACCACUCGGCAGUACCGUUGCCUUCCGCUGCGGCCUUCUGGGAAAUGAGCCGGGAUCAAAACAGCCGAGAUCAAAACUGCUGCAGGCCUGCCCAGGGCACCAGAUACCUCUGCGGAAGAGCCUGCCGGCCCGUGCAUCUCUCCUGACUCCUGUCACGGUGUCAUAUCUCUGGCUUAAGACUCUCAUUCCAGCAGAACAAAUGGUCUUUAUGGGCAGUGUGGAGUCACUGUCAGGGUUGUCCGUGCUGGAACUACACUUCCCAGUGCCCUCACCUCCUGCCACCACUCUCUGUGUCUGCUCUCACGUCCAGGAGCCAGAGAGCAGCCAGCAUCUCAAAUCCGAAACGCCAGUGCUCAGGAAUGAUCCAGAAUGCAGGCCAUGUCUACACAGAACUGCCGACACUCAGUGUAAGAUAUGAUGAUCAAGAGGGCUGGAGCAGCCCCAUAACUCCAUUCGAUAAUUUGAGAACAUCGGAAAGUAAUCACUGUGGGCUGUUUUUUUAUUCCAGUUUGCAGGUGUAGAUUUACCUAAGGUUCCUACUGGACUGGAGAACUGUUAUUUCUUCUCUGAGAUUUGACGAAGAAGACCAGAUAUCAACCAGUCACCAAACAACACAAAUGUGUUUCAACUUCCUUUCAUGUGCAAAAAUGACAUAACUAAAUGCAACAUUGAAAAUAUUUUAAAAACAGUAAUGGCAAUGGAUAUUCUACACACAUACCUAAUAUUUCAGACCUUCUUACAUUUGGAAUAUUUUAAAUGCUUGACUUUCCUUCUGCUAUACUGAACAAUAAUGAUUCUGGUCACUUGUGAUAGAGUGCUUUUUAAGAAAACAACAGAAUUCAGUUUUCUAUUGUUUUCCUCACCCAGUGUAAAACUGUAAAAAUAGCUGAAAAUAUUCAAAUCUGAAUCUAAUUAAUCCUCAAAGAAAAGUCUUAAAAUUUGUAAAUGUUUGAGGCAAAGGGAAAUUGUUUUCCUUUCCAAUAAAUUCUUUU